rnacentral:lncRNA from 1 species
AAGGCAGCUGUUACCCAGGCCCUGCACCUCCAUCUUCCCAGAGUCUCGUGGGAAACAGAUUUCAAACGACAACAGACAGCAAGACUGAGAAACUACGAAAGAUCAGCCUGGAAGCAGUGUUUGGAGCUGAGAUGACUUGGCAGGGAGAAGAAUCCAUUGGGACAUUCAAUAACUUGGCAUUGAGAGUGUUUUCAGCACCAUGCUGUCCUCAGAAUAGUGUUAGAAUUUAUAUAAACACAGAUGUGACUUGUGCCUUGAAGGAGAAUACAGUCUUCCCAGGAGAGACAUGCAAAACCAUCAUAGAUAAACAGCAAGAAAACAGCAUCAAGGAUGUACAUGCAUUGGGCAGAAUGUAAACUGGAUGUAAAACCAAGCAUUUGAGGGCAUACUGAGCAAGAGACAGUCUGGACAAUUUAUACUUCUAGAAUGGGGAGACAAGAAGAAAAGAAAGAUAGAUACCCAAGGACUUCAGUGACUGGCUCAGGAAGAAUUACUCAGCAGUGAGGGGGCCAGCAUGAGCCCAGGGGCAAGAAGCCGGAACUUGGAACAGGAAGGAAAGGUGCUCAGCUGGCUAACCUAGAGGAAAGUGAUUGGCUGGAGUGUCUGGUUUAUCUGUUUCAGGGAUGGUUAGAGAUUGCCCCGUUAAUAGGCAAAAAUUGUUGCCUUAAAGAACCUGGAAUCUAAAGGGGUCUUUGACAUAAUACAGAAUAACAGGUCCCAGAGAUUAUUUUACAGAAUGUUAGUACCUCAUGAUAUUAAUAGAUAUA